UUUUCAUCUGGGAGAUAUCCUGUCCCUUGGAUCAUUUUCUUUGUGCUCCUCUGGAUGCACCCUGGCAGGUCCAGCUGGCAUCCAGUCAUGAAUAGUGUUCCCCAGGAGUCGGUAUUGGAGCUUGCCGUUUCAUAUUUUUUUUCAUGAUCUGGAUGAGGGCACUGUGUGCACCCUCAUUAAGUUUGCAAAUUACACCCAGUUUGGAGGAAACAUUGAUAAGCGGGGGGUAGGAAGGCCUACAGAUGGAUCUGGAUGGGCUGGAUUGCUGGGCUGAGGCCAAUGGGAUGAAGUUCAGCAAGACCAAAUGCCAGAUCAUGCAUUUUGGCCACAACAACCCCAUGCAGUGCUACAGGCUUGGGGCAGAGUGGCUGGAAGGCUGUGCAGAGAAGGGUCUGGGAGUGUUGGUGGAUGCUUGGCUGAACACAAACCAUCAGCAUGCCUGGGUGCCCAAGAGGACUAGUGACAUCCUGGCUUGUAUCAGAAAUAGUGUAGCCAGAAGGAGCAGAGAAAUGAUUGUACUCCAGUACUCAGCUUUGGUGAGUCUGCAUCUUGAGUACUAUGUUCAGUUUUGGGCCCCUCACUACAAGAAAGACACAGAGGCCCUGGAGUGCAUCUAGAGAAGGGCAACAAAGCUGGUUAGAGUUCUAGAACACAACUCAUAAGAGGAGCAGCUGAGAGAACUGGAAUUGUUGAGUCUGGAGAAGAGGAGGCUCAGGGGAGACUUUAUCCCUUUCUACAACUCCCUGAAAGGAGCCUUUGGCAAACUGGAGGUUGGCCUCUCCUUCCAGUUGACCAACAAUAGGAUGAGAGGGAAUGUCCUCAAAUUGUGCCAGAAAUGAGGACAUAGUUCAGUGUGGGAGGUGACAUAGGUCUCUGCUACCAAACACUGGUACAGCUUCUGUCCACAUACACUCAGAGUGCAAAAGAACUCUGACCUCCAGCACUUGAGGAGUUAUCCUUCUUGGCAGGGAGGCAGCAGAGAGCUAUGUGACACCACUUUUCACAGAAGCUACAAAAGGUAAACCCUGUUGGGAACAGCAGCACAGCCUGUACUGCCAUCUGUUCACCUCUUAGGAGAGUCGCCCUGAGUUUGAUUUUCAGCUGCCAGCAGGCUGAGCAAUAGGAUGUGCUGGGGACACCACCACCUGCACCUGCUCCAGAGCCUGAAGCACCAGCUUAUGUGGUGAAGCCAUCUGGUGAAACUAAGAGCUGGAGACUGAAACCUCUGUGUGAUUAAAGGGUGAUGAGGGCUGAGUCUGUGUAGCUGUUUCUUGGCAGAGGCUCUCAUGGGAGGGUUGAAGCAUGGCUUAUUCAGCAGCAUGAGCCCCACCCCAGGUUUUUCAUUCAGCAUGAUAGUUCUCUCUUCAGAGAACUGAACCUCCAUUUCUCUUUACUGCUACCUUCCCAAGCCACUUCCUUUUGCCUCAGGAAACUACUGCUGUGCUCUCCCUUGACUCUUCACCUGCAACAUCCCAGGCUGGCAGAGCAGGGUGUUCAGACCCUUGAAGAAAAGGUCCUGAUCCCACAGCGCAGCACCAGGCUCCUGCUGAGAUGAGUGCAGGCAGAGCAUGGCAAGGCUGGGGAAAUGCAGCUCAGACCAGGUCCAGGUGGACAGGUUUUCUGCUCAGGUUGGUUCCACUAGAGGAGCAGGGGCAGGCUCCCUGUUAUCAUUCACCAGGCAGGAAGAACAGAUGUUUAUGACUGUGUCUUGAGCACAGGGCAAUCACAAAGGCCACCAGGAGGGUAAAGAGGCCAGUGAAGGGGACAGCCAGUAUCUGCAGCUCGGCUACCAGGGUGCUGCAGGAGUGAUGGAUUGCUUGGAUUCUUCAAGACCAUAAAUGCUUCCCAGCAGGGCCAGCCUCCUGGGGAGGGCAGCUGAUUAUUUUUGUCUUUUAAAUGAUUUACUGCUGAUAACACAACCAAGCUUUAAGUUUUUGAUGGUGGACGAUGGCCGAACCCCCAGCAAACAAUGAAGCAUGGCUACACCCUCACUGCAGCAUGCCGGGUCAUGCUUGUGAAGCCUGGUGUGCUCUGUAGGGUUUUGCAGGAAACAUAACUCUGUGCAGAGCAGCGUGGAUACAGCCCCUGUCACUCUGGUAUUUCAGCCCUUGCCUAACUGUGCUGUUAUUUUUAGAUAGAAAAUUACAGACAUGAUUAUUCCUUUUGAAGCCAGAAGAUAAGUGUCUAGGGCCAGUCCCAGGGUUACCUACUAGUUGGAUACUAACCAGGCACUUCCAUUAAUUUGAGUCUGUGCAUUCUUCCCAUAACCAUGUGCAAAACACAGCUCCAUUAAAAGAUGUAUUUAAUCAGAUGGAUAUUCUGCCAGCACUUGCACAUGCUGAUAUGAUCUGAAGUGUUGAUGAAAGUAGUUGGGUUUUUUUUGGUGUGUUUUCCAUUAAAGGGCAUGAGAUGUGGUAGACAUAAUGCCACUGCUCUCCACAGUCACUGUAAUUAAUGACAGAGAAAACUGAUUUCAUUUAUGAAGUCACUCGAGAUCCUUGGAUGAAAUGGUGAGUAAGUGCUUAUUAUUUGUCUUCACUAUUCAAUAUUAAUGCACGCUCAUUUAAACUCUUCCUGUACCAUCUGCCUCACAUACUGGAAUUUCUGACUGAAAGGUAGAAGUCUAAACAAAUGAAAAGCUCUUAGAAAAAUGCUUCUACCUCACCCCAACAUAACAUGAAAAUUAACUAUUAGUAACAAGCCUGUUUUUCCUUUUGACCAGUAAUCUCUUGCCACAGGAGUCACUGUUAAUGAAUCUACUCUAAUGGAUUUGCUACAGCACUAGCACAUUUGUGAUGAUUACCGAGCAAGCAAAGUUGUAAAUAAACAAUACUUUGUAAGGUUGGAAUUUCCACGUUCCUGACUGUUACAGCCCCUUCUGGGCCUCAGCUUUAGGCAACUAUAAAACAGACAGUAUCUUGUGCCAUGUCAUGUGUACAAGAAGCGUAAAUCAAUUUAAAGAGUAUGACUCAAAAGCCCAGUAAAUCUGUGUAGGGGCUGCUGUUAUCUUGCUCGUAUAUUUAAAGAACUCAGUGCUUUUAAGCAGCAGGCAGAAUGAAUGUUUGGCUUCCCCCCCCCCUUAUAGCCUGUAAGUUAGUGUGAAAGAAACUUUUACUAUAUCUGCAUGUUUAAGAUCUUCCUUCAGGCUAUUUGGGAAAUCCCAAAACUAGUUAUAACUACACAUUGCAUUUGCAGUGGAAAAGUCCUUGCUUUCAUCCGGGUAGCUGUCUAAUAGUGAAGGAAGAAUAGAAGUGUGGUAAAGUUCUUUAUUUCAGGUUGCAUAAAAAUACAGAAGCUCUCCAUUAAAAAAUCAGAGGUAAGUUCACUCUCUCUGACUCCAAGAGAAAACAAUGGGUUACCACUUAAAACUGCUUGCAUGCUUAAAAGUAGACAUGUGUACUUUGAAAAUAAAAAAAAAAUAAAGUUUAAGUGAUAAAUAAGCAACAGGUCCAAGCAAGUGCAUUGACUUGCCUGAAGUAAGUACUCCUCCACUGUAACACACGCAUACUGUGAGGAGCACAGUCACAGUUCGUACUUUGUAUGUUUAUGUGUUUGAAUCGCCUUAUGCCUCACCCCUCAAAUAAAACACAGUGGAAAACAUAACCUACAGUGAUGUGAAAACUCAGCAGAGAUGGAGACAACAACCAGAAAGCUCUGCAGUCCAUGGGCUUUGCACUACCCUCGAGGUACCUCAAUGAUUUUACAGUUAUGAGAUAUACAUAGUAGUAAUGUCUGAUCCAAUACAUUUCUACACUGAUAAAACAUAAGUAGUGUAUGACAGGCUUUGUUUUUGUGUUUUUCUUUUUUUUUUGCUAUAAAAGUCACAUUAAAACGUCUCCAACUGCAAACAAAUAAAUACGUGUGCAUAUAUACAUAGUGCCAAAUGUUACAGUACUUUCUCUUACCAGAGACUUAAUAGAAAGAAAAGUAAUGUCAAGUGUUGCAAAAUUACAGGGAGCUUUUCUAUUUUCCUGUUAGAGCUACUCACAGCUGCCAUGACACAGCACUGCAGAGGCCACAGCAGUUCUGAGGCUGGAAUCAUCGCAACUGCAAAAACAUGCACUGGGCCUCAUUCCUCUACUUGUAUCUGUGGACUCACAGAUAGAAAUAAAAUUCAAUUAAUAGCACUUAUAAAUCAGAUCCAGCAGAUUCCUAAGGGACAUAAACCUUGCUAGCAGAAGCCAUUGAUUUGAUCUCUGUCCCUAAAGCUGAAAGUUGUUUCUAGUGCAUUAUUAAAUGACCAAUAAAGAGUCAGUGAAAAAUC